rfam:Sphingomonas sp. Leaf33 contig_1, whole genome shotgun sequence.
UCCCUGAUAGCUCAGCGGUAGAGUAGGUGACUGUUAAUCACUUGGUCGUUGGUUCGAAUCCAACUCAGGGAG